UGCCCGAUCGUCUAAGGGUAGGACAACAGUCUCUGGAUCUGUUAAUCGUGGUUCGAAUCCAUGUCGGGCAGCCA
rnacentral:tRNA from 1 species